rnacentral:rRNA from 1 species
GGGUUGUGAGGUUAAGCGACUAAGCGUACACGGUGGAUGCCCUGGCAGUCAGAGGCGAUGAAGGGCGUGCUAAUCUGCGAUAAGCGCCGGUAAGGUGAUAUGAACCGUUAUAACCGGCGAUACCCGAAUGGGGAAACCCAGUGUGAUUCGUCACACUAUCAUUAACUGAAUCCAUAGGUUAAUGAGGCGAACCGGGGGAACUGAAACAUCUAAGUACCCCGAGGAAAAGAAAUCAACCGAGAUUCCCCCAGUAGCGGCGAGCGAACGGGGAGGAGCCCAGAGCCUGAAUCAGCAUGUGUGUUAGUGGAAGCGUCUGGAAAGGCGCGCGAUACAGGGUGACAGCCCCGUACACAAAAGCGCAUGUGCUGUGAGCUCGAUGAGUAGGGCGGGACACGUGGUAUCCUGUCUGAAUAUGGGGGGACCAUCCUCCAAGGCUAAAUACUCCUGACUGACCGAUAGUGAACCAGUACCGUGAGGGAAAGGCGAAAAGAACCCCGGCGAGGGGAGUGAAAAAGAACCUGAAACCGUGUACGUACAAGCAGUGGGAGCACCCUUUGGGUGUGACUGCGUACCUUUUGUAUAAUGGGUCAGCGACUUAUAUUCUGUAGCAAGGUUAACCGAAUAGGGGAGCCGGAGGGAAACCGAGUCUUAACCGGGCGUUAAGUUGCAGGGUAUAGACCCGAAACCCGGUGAUCUAGCCAUGGGCAGGUUGAAGGUUGGGUAACACUAACUGGAGGACCGAACCGACUAAUGUUGAAAAAUUAGCGGAUGACCUGUGGCUGGGGGUGAAAGGCCAAUCAAACCGGGAGAUAGCUGGUUCUCCCCGAAAGCUAUUUAGGUAGCGCCUCGUGAAUUCAUCUCCGGGGGUAGAGCACUGUUUCGGCUAGGGGGCCAUCCCGGCUUACCAACCCGAUGCAAACUGCGAAUACCGGAGAAUGUUAUCACGGGAGACACACGGCGGGUGCUAACGUCCGUCGUGAAGAGGGAAACAACCCAGACCGCCAGCUAAGGUCCCAAAGUCAUGGUUAAGUGGGAAACGAUGUGGGAAGGCCCAGACAGCCAGGAUGUUGGCUUAGAAGCAGCCAUCAUUUAAAGAAAGCGUAAUAGCUCACUGGUCGAGUCGGCCUGCGCGGAAGAUGUAACGGGGCUAAACCAUGCACCGAAGCUGCGGCAGCGACACUGUGUGUUGUUGGGUAGGGGAGCGUUCUGUAAGCCUGUGAAGGUGUGUCGUGAGGCAUGCUGGAGGUAUCAGAAGUGCGAAUGCUGACAUAAGUAACGAUAAAGCGGGUGAAAAGCCCGCUCGCCGGAAGACCAAGGGUUCCUGUCCAACGUUAAUCGGGGCAGGGUGAGUCGACCCCUAAGGCGAGGCCGAAAGGCGUAGUCGAUGGGAAACGGGUUAAUAUUCCCGUACUUGGUGUUACUGCGAAGGGGGGACGGAGAAGGCUAUGUUGGCCGGGCGACGGUUGUCCCGGUUUAAGCGUGUAGGCUGGUUUUCCAGGCAAAUCCGGAAAAUCAAGGCUGAGGCGUGAUGACGAGGCACUACGGUGCUGAAGCAACAAAUGCCCUGCUUCCAGGAAAAGCCUCUAAGCAUCAGGUAACAUCAAAUCGUACCCCAAACCGACACAGGUGGUCAGGUAGAGAAUACCAAGGCGCUUGAGAGAACUCGGGUGAAGGAACUAGGCAAAAUGGUGCCGUAACUUCGGGAGAAGGCACGCUGACACGUAGGUGAAGUGAUUUACUCAUGGAGCUGAAGUCAGUCGAAGAUACCAGCUGGCUGCAACUGUUUAUUAAAAACACAGCACUGUGCAAACACGAAAGUGGACGUAUACGGUGUGACGCCUGCCCGGUGCCGGAAGGUUAAUUGAUGGGGUCAGCGCAAGCGAAGCUCCUGAUCGAAGCCCCGGUAAACGGCGGCCGUAACUAUAACGGUCCUAAGGUAGCGAAAUUCCUUGUCGGGUAAGUUCCGACCUGCACGAAUGGCGUAAUGAUGGCCAGGCUGUCUCCACCCGAGACUCAGUGAAAUUGAACUCGCUGUGAAGAUGCAGUGUACCCGCGGCAAGACGGAAAGACCCCGUGAACCUUUACUAUAGCUUGACACUGAACAUUGAGCCUUGAUGUGUAGGAUAGGUGGGAGGCUUUGAAGUGUGGACGCCAGUCUGCAUGGAGCCGACCUUGAAAUACCACCCUUUAAUGUUUGAUGUUCUAACGUGGACCCGUUACCCGGGUUGCGGACAGUGUCUGGUGGGUAGUUUGACUGGGGCGGUCUCCUCCUAAAGAGUAACGGAGGAGCACGAAGGUUGGCUAAUCCUGGUCGGACAUCAGGAGGUUAGUGCAAUGGCAUAAGCCAGCUUGACUGCGAGCGUGACGGCGCGAGCAGGUGCGAAAGCAGGUCAUAGUGAUCCGGUGGUUCUGAAUGGAAGGGCCAUCGCUCAACGGAUAAAAGGUACUCCGGGGAUAACAGGCUGAUACCGCCCAAGAGUUCAUAUCGACGGCGGUGUUUGGCACCUCGAUGUCGGCUCAUCACAUCCUGGGGCUGAAGUAGGUCCCAAGGGUAUGGCUGUUCGCCAUUUAAAGUGGUACGCGAGCUGGGUUUAGAACGUCGUGAGACAGUUCGGUCCCUAUCUGCCGUGGGCGCUGGAGAACUGAGGGGGGCUGCUCCUAGUACGAGAGGACCGGAGUGGACGCAUCACUGGUGUUCGGGUUGUCAUGCCAAUGGCACUGCCCGGUAGCUAAAUGCGGAAGAGAUAAGUGCUGAAAGCAUCUAAGCACGAAACUUGCCCCGAGAUGAGUUCUCCCUGAGACUUAAAGUCUCCUGAAGGAACGUUGAAGACGACGACGUUGAUAGGCCGGGUGUGUAAGCGCAGCGAUGCGUUGAGCUAACCGGUACUAAUGAACCGUGAGGCUUAACCUUACAACGCCGAAG